CUAGUGAGAGAGUGAGGGAGGGUGUGACUAGUGACAGAGGGAGGAGUGACUAGGGACAAAGUGAGGGAGGUGGUGACUAGUGACAGUCACCACCUCCCUCACUCUGUCACUAGUCACCACCUCCCUCACUCUGUCACCAGUCAUCCCCUCACUCUGUCACCAGUCAUCCCCUCACUCUAGUGACAGAGUGAGGGACGGUGUGACUCCUUUACUCUGUCACUAGU